UGACAAAAUAUUGUAACAUUUUAACUUAAUUGUUUACAUUAAAUAUAUAAUUCAAUACGAUACUCUUAUAACAUGAUCACGUUUAAAUUUUAAUUUUUGCAUUCAUCUAACUUGCUUUAAUUUUUUAGGGUCUUCAAAGUCUCUGGAUCUCCAAAACCUUGUGCAUGGAUUUCGUGUUAUUCAAAUAAACCUAUUCUCCUGUAAGAGAUUUCAACAACAUACCAGACGGCCGAUAGUGAGAAUGCCGACUAUCGGCGAAGAAGAGGAGCACCAUAUGCACUUGUAUAAUGGUAUCGACGGCACAGAGGCAGAAGACUUAGUGUUAAUACUGAUCACACCAGGUCGACAGUGGGACAAUUAAUGUCCGAUAAUGAAAUGUAUUUAAAACAUUGUUAAACACUGUAUCAAUUUCUAUCGUGUUGCAAUUGUUCUCUAUUGUAUCUAUUGUUAUGUAUCAUAUCCCUUAAUUGAUUUUCAAAAUUCUUCUUUCAUUAACGUAUCUAAAUUUGGUUGAUCUAGUAUUAAAAGUAGAAAGUUUUUAUCAUUUCAAUUAUCAACGCUUUGAAAAUUUGUUAGACAAUUGUUGUUGUUACACAUAGAUACAUAGAAUAGAUAUAUAGAUACAUGUCGUGUUACUCGAUGUAUAGAUAUGAUUAUAUUUAAUAAGUAAGAUUUAAAAGUUAGUAAAUUUAUAUAUUUUUUCUGUUGUUUAUCAUGUAGCUCUGUGUAUUUGUUGUGAAAUAAAUUCCAAAUAUAAACUAUAA